UAAUAUCUGGAAGCACAUAUUGGAGAGACAUAUUAUAUCACAUGGGAGUGCAAGGUGCAACAGGGAGAUACAGGAUGAGCCUCACUUUUGGCAGAUGUCUCCAGUGCCAUCUAUUGGGUGACAGAGGCCAGCAGAGGAUUCUCCAUGUGUGAGGAAAAACAGGACUGGCUUGUGUUUUACUAUGGCCUGCAAAUAAAUGACCAAUUAUCGGCUUGGACCCAGACGCUAAACCCGUGGAGGAACAUUUGAGGGUCCUGGCCCGAACAGGUACCGCAGUGGAACCUCGAGUGGCCGCAGAAUGCACGCCGGCGGUGGGAUGGAGACCGAGGACAUGGAGCGGUCCAUGCGCUGCAGAAUUGGUGCGCUCCGACCCUCGAGGGCCGCUGCAGUUUGCUGGGCGAGCAGCGCACCCCGGCUGAGGAAAGACCGCUGCAUCACUGCUGCUGUGCGGGUUCCUGAGAUGUUUUCACCGUGUGAGAUCACCACCGACAGACGGAGAGACUCAGUCCGACUGUAAGAUUUGGGUGAAGAUUUAAAACAGGCCUUUGACCUGUUGGCCGAGGGGCGGUACAAUAGUACAGUAAACCAGGGCUUCUCCAUCUGUGGCCCCCCUUCAGACCUGGUAGCGACAUCGUUCCUGUGAGAUCUGGUUACAUACAAACGGCACAAAACACUUCACUCCUGGCCUUAAACUAGUCCUGUGUGACUCAUGAGAGAGGGGAUUUUUGCAUCAUAUAUCAUUUGCAUUAUAUGAUUAGAUGUGGGCGCGGAUUAGCUGCGUUCAGACCUGUAUUUGGCACCGUCUGCAUGUGAUCGAAAUUCAGCAUUGAAUUGGGCUGAGUCCGAUGUUCUGACAUGUGAUGAUCAUUUGCAUCGUAAUGUUCAUCUGAAAGAGUGAUGGAAGCUGUUUGUGAUGAAUGAUGAAAGAAUGAAUGCUCAGCGGGCUGGGUCUCUAAAUUCUCCAAGUCAGGUGUCACCUGUUGAAGCAUAGGUGUCUCACUCAGAAGAGCAAUAUCAGGGGAUAUUAACUACUGACACUAAAAGGGUUUAAUCUUUGCAUUUGCAGAUGAGAAGUGUGUUUCCUUAAUCUGACCCAAAAUGCUAUGGUUGAUUAAACCUUUUUUGCACCAAUUUUAGACUAGAUUGAUCAGACAAUGUUGGGUUGUGCUCAUUUCUGACCAAAGAACUUAAGGACAGAGGAAUGGUGUGUAGUGACAGCACAGAUUCUGGUUUGUACUGAUUUCAUUUUAAAUCUGUAAAUAGUCAAAUUUUAUUUUUUCAUGCUGACUAUGACCACUGCAGUAUGAAAAGAGCCGAUGCCACAGCUCUUCAAAAGGAUUGUGUGAUUUGUACAUGAUGGUUGUUGCUUUCAAAGUGUUAAUUUACAAUAAAUUAAAAUAUUCACACAUUUAAA